CGCUAUCCCCAGAUGGAAAGAACAGAAAACUGAGAAGCAGAGGAGAGUGUGAAGUCAAAGCCCAUGGAGCACCGGACAAUAAAAGAUUAAAAGAAUAAACUGACCUGCUGAGACGGCUCUGUGGCAAAGACACUGGCUAGCAAGCCUGGCGACCUGAGUUCAACCCCCAGGGUGGGCACAGAGAGCUGAUCCCGACCGGGUAUCAUGUCAUUCAAGCUGACCCCAGACUCAAGCUGACCCCUAUACAGGAGACCGUGACCUCCAACACCUGACCCUCCAGCCCCC